GAGGAGGAGGAAGAGGAGAAGGAGGAGGAAGAGGAGGAGGAGGAAAGGGGAUCCCUCCUGAGAUCCUCCAGGCCUUUAUCAGCUGGGGCCAUUGCUAUCAGCGCUGUUGUUGGCUCAGGCCCACAAGCAAAAUUGCCCAACCUAGCACUGGACAGUUGUUUGUCCUGGCUACAGUCAGGUAGCCUUGGCAGGAUUGGCCACCUCCGAGAAGUCUGUUGGCUUUGACAGAGGAGAGGUGGGUGGGGAGGGGGUUGGGGGCUCUGGGAGGCUGAGCCCCUGGCAGCCAGACUAGGUCCCAGGCCCGUUCCUCACCACCCCUACAGUCUUUUCUUCUGUCCUCUCUCUCGCUCUCCUCCUCAUUCCCACCUUCUAUCUUAUCCCUCGCUUGGAGUGCUGGGGAAGAUAAUGAGACAGUAUGAAAAAGCCUCUGUCCAGGGGCACAUGAGUCUGCUGGGGGAGAUAAGGCAGCGGAAUGGAGAAUGGAAGGUCACCGUGGAGGGCAGUCAUCGUAGGGGGGAUUCCAGAGGAGGGGAGGCCGGAGCUGGGUCCCAGAGGCUGGGAAUGACGUGGGAGAGCUAGAGCGGAGUCGGUGAGGGCCAAAGCUCUCCGAGGGUAACCAUGUUCCCGAGGGUCCGCUUCCCUUGCGCUGCUCCCCUCCCCCUAUUUCAUUACCCAGAGAGCCUUGUUACCUCAGUGGGAACUGGAGAGGAAGACAGGCCCACCUGGCUCUGGUCACUGGACGGUUUAGCUAGCGUGCCAAUGGGAGAGCGAGAGGAGGCUGCGGUGGCUCUGCGCCAGGGCUUCGGGGUCAGUGACAUCUGGAUUCUGAGGUAAGCACAAACACCAGCCCGGCCGAAGGUCGCCACUGGCCACCUGGUUAUCUCUCCACAGGGCGCUCUUAUCUCCGGAUCUGUGAAAGGAGACCGCUCGCUCAACGGGGAGGGUUCCAAAUUUCCUUCCAGCCCUAAUAUUCUCGUUUCCUCUCUGUUGUUGUGGAGAAUGAGAUGAUUUCUGUAAAAGGGCCUUAGUAAAUCCACACUCCCCACCCCGCCUCCGGCCACCCCAGAAGCAGAAGGGAAUUCAGAAAUUCAGAGAUCUAGUGUGAUCUCAUCUUACAGGAUUUGGGGGCAGAAAUGGAUGCAGACCCUGAUAUAACUGUUUCCCAGCUCUCUGGGCUAGGCCCUUCUCCUGCUGGGACUUCAGUAUCCUCAGAGGCAGCUUUUUCGGGAAAAUGUUCCUGAAGGUUUUGAUACACCUGGUCUGUCCUGGAGAGUUGGCUUUGAUGCCCACCCCCAGUGCCCGCUGAAACCACCCUUUUCUUCUUAUUUCUCUAGACAACUAACUAUUCCCUUGUGAAUAAAUACUUCCAAAAAUGUACGCUUGCAGCCUGUUGUGUUUAAUGGCAAAGGAGAAGAAAUGAAAGAGGGAAGUGGGUGCCACUGUCAGGGGCAAGGGGAAGGAGGUAAUUCUGGGUCAAGUGUGACUCAUCUCAGGCCCAUGGAGACAAGCCAGCUGGGGGGCCGGCAGAUCAGGAGGCCUGAGUCCCAGGUCAAGAUCUGGGGCCCAGGAGCAAUGAAAGUUAGAACUGGGAAGGAGGGGAAUCCAGGCAAAAGACCAGGCUCCCUUGGAGCUGUUCUAAAGAAGAGUUCAGCAUCAGAAGCAGUGUGGGAAGGGCUAAGGACGAGAGGCAGGGACUAGAUUUUUAAUUUUCCCUCUGCCAUAUCUGCUGGGUAGCCUUGUUUGGGAAUCCCCUUCCCCUUCCUUUAUCCAUUAUUUCUUCUCCAUUAGAAUGUAAGCUCCUUGAAGACAGAGACUGUUUAAUUUGUAUGUAUAUUCUCAGUAUUUUGCAUAAUGCUGGGUAUCUAAUAAAUGUUUAUCUAUCUAUCUAUCUACUUUCUUUCCU